UGCAUAGCUAGCGUAGCUUAAUUAAAGCAUAACACUGAAGAUGUUAAGAUGGGCCCUAGAAACGUCCGCAAGCA
rnacentral:tRNA from 1 species